CCGUAAGGGGGACCUGCGGAGGGAUCAUUACCGAGUUUACAACUCCCAAACCCCUGUGAACAUACCUUAAUGUUGCCUCGGCGGAUCAGCCCGCGCCCCGUAAAACGGGACGGCCCGCCAGAGGACCCAAACUCUAAUGUUUCUUAUUGUAACUUCUGAGUAAAACAAACAAAUAAAUCAAAACUUUCAACAACGGAUCUCUUGGUUCUGGCAUCGAUGAAGAACGCAGCAAAAUGCGAUAAGUAAUGUGAAUUGCAGAAUUCAGUGAAUCAUCGAAUCUUUGAACGCACAUUGCGCCCGCUGGUAUUCCGGCGGGCAUGCCUGUUCGAGCGUCAUUUCAACCCUCAAGCCCCCGGGUUUGGUGUUGGGGAUCGGCUCUGCCUUCUGGCGGCGCCGCCCCCGAAAUACAUUGGCGGUCUCGCUGCAGCCUCCAUUGCGUAGUAGCUAACACCUCGCAACUGGAACGCGGCGCGGCCAUGCCGUAAAACCCCAACUUCUGAAUGUUGACCUCGGAUCAGGUAGGAAUACCCGCUGAACUUAAGCAUAUCAAU
rnacentral:rRNA from 1 species